rnacentral:sRNA from 1 species
GGGUGAGGUAGGCAUCCUAAGAUCGCCGCGUCCUGCGGCAACGGAUGCAUGACCUACAUCCUGUAGG